rnacentral:rRNA from 1 species
UACAGAGGGUGCGAGCGUUGUCCGGAAUUAUUGGGCGUAAAGGGCUCGUAGGCGGUCUGUCGCGUCGGGGAGUGAAAACUCAGGGCUUAACCCUGAGCCUGCUUCCGAUACGGGCAGACUAGAGGUAUGUAGGGGGAGACUGGAAUUCCUGGUGUAGCGGUGAAAAUGCGCAGAUAUCAGGAGGAACACCGAUGGCGAAGGCAGGUCUCUGGGCAUUAACUGACGCUGAGGAGCGAAAAGCAUGGGGGAGCGAACAGG